CCUACAGGAGGCAGCAGUGGGGAAUAUUGGACAAUGGGGGCAACCCUGAUCCAGCCAUGCCGCGUGUGUGAAGAAGGCCCUCGGGUUGUAAAGCACUUUCAAUGAGGAAGAACGCCUGGUGGUUAAUACCCAUCAGGAAAGACAUCACUCACAGAAGAAGCACCGGCUAACUCCGUGCCAGCAGCCGCGGUAAUACGGAGGGUGCGAGCGUUAAUCGGAAUUACUGGGCGUAAAGCGCGCGUAGGUGGCUUGAUAAGCCGGUUGUGAAAGCCCCGGGCUCAACCUGGGAACGGCAUCCGGAACUGUCAAGCUAGAGUGCAGGAGAGGAAGGUAGAAUUCCCGGUGUAGCGGUGAAAUGCGUAGAGAUCGGGAGGAAUACCAGUGGCGAAGGCGGCCUUCUGGACUGACACUGACACUGAGGUGCGAAAGCGUGGGUAGCAAACAGGAUUAGAUACCCUUGUAGUC
rnacentral:rRNA from 1 species